CUUUCUUCCUUUUCUCAUUAUCAUACUCCAUCAAACACUUUAUUCCUCUCUCUAUUUCAUUGCUAUACGCAAUUACUCCACCGUCAUUCCUAUAGUCCAUUCUAAUUUCCACCGCUAAUCCCAAAUCCAUCACCAUUUCAAAGGCAUUAAACUGUUGCUCUGCAUACAUUGGCCAAGUGGCAAUUGGGACUCCAAACCAUAUGCUCUCUAGCACAGAAUUCCAUCCACAAUGUGAAAAAAUCCUCCUAUUGCUGGAUGAGCCAAGGCAGCCGCUUGUGGAGCCCACUCUAUCGAUCACCUUCCCAAUCCCAGACGUUUGAUGGAAGAAUCCUUCGGGCAAGAUUUCUUGUGGAUCUUCAUAAUUACUAGGAGUUGCUAAAAGACCAGAAGGGGGUGGUUGGCGUAGGGACCACAAGAAUCGAU
rnacentral:misc_RNA from 1 species